rnacentral:rRNA from 1 species
UACGUAGGGGGCAAGCGUUGUCCGGAAUUAUUGGGCGUAAAGAGCGUGUAGGCGGCCAGACAGGUCCGUUGUGAAAACUCGAGGCUCAACCUCGAGACGCCGAUGGAAACCGUCUGGCUAGAGUCCGGAAGAGGAGAGUGGAAUUCCCGGUGUAGCGGUGAAAUGCGCAGAUAUCGGGAAGAACACCCGUGGCUAAGGCGGCUCUCUAGUACGGUACUGACGCUGAGACGCGAAAGCGUGGGGAGCGAACAGG